rnacentral:rRNA from 1 species
UACGUAGGGUGCAAGCGUUAAUCGGAAUUACUGGGCGUAAAGCGUGCGCAGGCGGUUAUGCAAGACAGAUGUGAAAUCCCCGGGCUUAACCUGGGAACUGCAUUUGUGACUGCAUAGCCAGAGUACGGUAGAGGGGGAUGGAAUUCCGCGUGUAGCAGUGAAAUGCGUAGAUAUGCGGAGGAACACCGAUGGCGAAGGCAGUCCCCUGGACCUGUACUGACGCUCAUGCACGAAAGCGUGGGGAGCAAACAGG